ensembl:lncRNA
GCAACAGCACGGUCAAAUUAAGAUACAGCAUCUGUAAUGUCUGAUGACCAUGAUUGAGAUUGUGUGUGACUUCUGAAGAUGGAUUCACAUUCUGAUGAAACAGAAAAGAAUGAAAAGGCAGAGAGACGAGGAGAACGGCAGUAAAGAGACAAGUGGGUAAAACAGUUUAAAAGUUUAUUAGUUGAACAGAACAUCUAUCUUCCUGAGCGGCUCGGGAUGCCAUCUGAACUCAAAUUACAUCAGCCAUUAAAAUGAAAGAAUAAAUUAACACACAAUCACAGACAGCGUAACUGCAACAGGUCUUUAGGGAAUAAGAUUCAGUACAAAACAACUUUAUUGUCCUUCACAAGGAGGAGUUUAGUGACCUUGGCAUUAAGCUUGGGUAGUAUACCGUAUAUACUGUAUACCGGGGUAUUUGAAAAUAGCCGUUGGAUGCUUUUUCAAUACCGUUGAAACAAUUUUUUAAAUCUGAUUUUGAAUAUUUGUAUCUAUUUUAAGUAAAUACCUGCAGUUAGCUUGUGUAAUGCGUGAGGAGAUAAAGAUCGCAUUCUUAAUUUCAGCGGUCACAAAAAACGUCUCCAUUAUGAAGUUUACCGGUAGUCCCCAGUCACGUGGUUUAGAAGCACACAAUGACUAGAGACCGGAGCCUUGCAAGUCACUCACUGUUAUACACCAAGUGAUCUAGUUACCGUAGGGGAUUCACAACUAAAUGUCGGCCAGCUAGAUAUCUUCUAACUAUUAAAAGUUAACUGUCUACAAUGUGCUAAAAUGCUCUGGAGUUUUGCAUUGGUUUGCUAAUUUAUUAGCUCGUUAGCCAUCUAGCUAAGUGCUUAGCUUCUUCCAAAAUCAAGCUUCACUUGGUAGCAGCAGAGAAUCCCCUGAGCUGGGAUGUCUGUCCUGCAAUAGCUUAGGUCAGAGACUAUAAAAUUUUCGCAAUGCGCUCGUUAGCAUUAAUUUACUAUUCUCUAUGGGAUUUUAUAUGUACCUGUUAGCAUUGCUAACCUUUAGAUUACAGGAGGUAGGGUUUGAAAAUAGCAGCCCUUGUGUUCAGUGCCGGCAUUCCCGAAUAUUCCGGUAUGGCACAAGGUCGGUAUAAAAAGUAUGACAAUCUGGAUACCACACAAGCCUGCAGACUGUAUUAUUUUCAAUAGCGUUUAUAUAAUAUUUAUUUUGGGGUGGGUUAGGGGCACUGGGAGGCUGAGUACUACACAACUGCCUAGAACUAUUUAUACCAUGGCAUUGUUGAAUACUCCUUUCUGAUUCGCUUGAAGGGCAUUCUAGAACGUGCAUUAUUUCUCUAUAACGCACGGUAUAUCAGCACGGUAGAAUUCAAACGCUACAGUUCAUUCUUACAUGUUCUAAUAGUUGAGCUGCUUUUAAAAGCAGAAGUCAAAUUGAAAACAUUACUAGCAUUGUUGAAUUCGAUUGUCAUAAUGGAAAGCUAGGACAGAUGGUUUGGUUAGUUAAACUAGCAAGUCUGUUUGUUUGGUGACCAAGGCAACUACUGUAGCUAUCUAGUAAACUUGCUAGCUACUUCAGUGGAUGUUAAAACUAGCGGCAAAUGUGUUAAGUUAUAGCCGUGGUAUGAAAGGGAUAUUCAUUGAUUGAUUAUUAUUAUUAUCUCGUUGAUUAUCCCUUACACGUUAAGUAUAACUAUAAGAAACAAGUUAAGUGUAACUAAAAGAAAUCUAAGAUGUGUCAAAUCAGUGAUCUCCAGCUCAGGGCUCCAGCUAUGCAUUUGGUUUGCUAACUUGCUAGCUAAGUUAGCUAUAGGUCAAGAUCAAUCUUCUUGGUUACAGCAGAGACAUUCUAGCCUGGGUGCCAGUGUCUUCAGCUAAUCCACUUAUUGUACUCCUGGUCACUGCCAAAGAGACUGGCCUUUCUGCCAUCUUCAAAUAUCAACAUUCUAUCAUUAAAUGAGCUUGAGGCAAAGACAGGAGUUGAUCCUGAUUCGAUAACCCCUCCAAUUUAUCCUCCAAUCACAACAAUUAUCCAAAUAUUGGAACUAUCACUUUUUUUCUCUCUCCACAGAACACAUUGGUAUCCAGUUGCUAAGCAACCAUUUUUUUGUUUGUCCAAAUGAAACCAGUCUGUCAAAAGUUGCUAGCUCACUUUUAAAAACUAAAUAAAUACUGUAAUUCACACCAAAAUAACACUUUGAAUUGAAUUUAAACCUAAAAACAUAAGAACUUACCUAGCUAACAGCUCAAUGUUUUGAAUAUGACUUUGUUCUUAAUUAUAAUUACAUUUUGUCAUGGAAAAUAUUAAUAAUGUUAUUUCCAACAACCAAUGAGCAACUCCGCCAUAGAUCCAGCUGCAUAUUGAGCGUUGAGAUAGCUGAUUGGCCAGUCUCUUUGGCGAUGACAUGGAGUGGAACGUUGGCUAAAUAGACUGUUACCCAGACUAGAGACAUCCAAUCCUCUCCUGGAUCUAAAUCCCUAUUGCCCAAUUUGUUUUGCAUGUCAACCCCCCAAAUAUAUAUAUAUAUAUAUAUUUCAAAUAGCGCCCUUGUGUGCACUUCUGGUAAUACCGUGUAAUACCGGUAUGACCAUCCGCCCCAAUCCUGUAACCAUUCCCCAGGUCGUUGCUGUAAAUGAGAACGUGUUCAGUCAAUUUACCGUAAAAAAAACAACAAAAAAUUAAAUCUGAUUCCUUUUAGAUUGCACUACGUCUGACCACAGCCGUAUGGGCCCUGUUAAAACAGUGUGCAAUAUCAAGGGAAUAGGGUGGCGCUUGGGACGCACAUUUACACUACCACCACCACGGUUAGCACGGUUACACCACCACCACCACUGUUACCAGGGGCGUCUGCCUCGCAGAGCUGGCUGUCACAAUGGCCACGCUCCAGGCUAACUACAUUGCCAUACGCCUGCCAGAUUACACAAUACUCCGAAUGGUGUUUGACAUAUCAGCUAAAGCCUCAUCACAUGAUACAGCCAUCUAAUGUCCGACUGUGUAGUCGAUGACGUGGGACACAACCAUUGGUUGAUGCAAUGCAACGUUUGUAAUGUAGUUGGUCUGGAAGGUGACCAUCGUGUCAACAGUCAUGUCACUAGUGCUACUUGUUGGCCAAAAAAACCCAAUAUAUAUAUAUCACCUACAGAUGUCUUUUAAAACCUUGCAGUGUAAUGUCUUGGAAUCUAGUUGCCGGGCAGUUUAGAUAUUAAUACAAACUUUGCUUCUGGCCACUGAUUAGUUUUUUAAUAUGUUUGUUUUGUGUUUUUAAAAAAAGGCACAUGAAGAGAGUGUGCUGGCUGUGGAAAAGCUUUGUCACGAUGACUACAGAACGUACAUAGAAGUGGAGAUGUCAGUGGGGUGGGAGGGGAGGACUGGAUUGGGCUGUUGUGGGGGGGACUGGAGUUGGGCUGUUGUGGGGGGACUGGAGUUGGGCUGUUGUGGGGGG